UUGGCAUAAUAUCACCAUCAUUGUUCCUACAUGGCAGAUUUUUGCCUCCCAUUUUCACCAAAGUCUUUUCCUUCUCUCUCUCCAUUUACGUUUUUCCAGCUCUUUUCUGCGCAAGAUUAAGUCAACACCAGAAGCCAAACGACUUUUAGAUUUUGAUUCUCUAUGGUAGAGAUUUAAUUUUUAAACGGCUCUUUUGAAGACCAAAAUCCCAAUCUGUGACCUCUCUGAUUUUGGAUUCAAAUUUCAAAUCAAAAACUCAAGUUCCAUCUAUAAAUCUUCCCCAAAGUUUUCAGCCGAAACCAAGCUGGAACACAGGGAAAUCCAGGCUUGAAUUAUCAAAAAUCUCUCAACUCAACUGAAUCUUCCAUCUUAAUCUUUGUUUUAGCAUUUAACAAUCUGAUACUCAAAAGUCCUUCAAUUUUGUCGCUCAACUCUCCAGCCAAAGGAUCAGGUCGGAAUCCCUAAAAAAUUCAGUUUAUAUCACACUCUGUUUAUUCUUUUAAUCUCAAGCUUUACAAUAUGUGGAAAACUCCUCAAUAUUUAGUCUUCAUUAUUAUAUUCUCCACGACUAAGGAGUGUAGAUCUAACCUUUAAAGCUCCUAGUUCACUGCCCCACAACAGAGCCGAAGAGUUCUACUUUGAGACUCAACGACGCCGAUGCCGCAUAUCCUCAAUCACGUUCAGCUUCUACACUUCUUGAAAGCAAGUCAUAAAAAUAUUCACUCCUCUGUUUGAGAGCCGAACAUGGCCGUCUAGCAGAUCCUCUGCUGUCUUAUUUUUGCUUAUGGUUGAUGACUAACAUUUUACUGUGUGGUUAUCUUUUAAUAUCAGUUGUGUCAUCUAUUUAAGUUGUGCGAUUAACUUUAAAACCAAGUGAUAGUAUGUGAUUACUCACUACGCUCGCAUUUGAUCACGUAAGAUCUUCACCUCUAGUUAACAAUGAAUUACUAACUCUUAAAGAUCA